UAAGGAAUAUUGGUCAAUGGACGCAAGUCUGAACCAGCCAUGCCGCGUGAAGGAUGAAGGCGCUAUGCGUCGUAAACUUCUUUUAUACGGGAGAAAACCCCCGCUUGCGAGCGGGGCUGAUAGUACUGUAAGAAUAAGGGUCGGCUAACUUCGUGCCAGCAGCCGCGGUAAUACGAAGGACCCGAGCGUUAUCCGGAUUCAUUGGGUUUAAAGGGUGCGUAGGCGUCCUGGUAAGUUUUCGGUGAAAUCCUCAAGCUUAACUUGAGAACUGCCGAGAAUACUACCGGGAUUGAGUACAGUUGAGGUGGGCGGAAUGUGUCAUGUAGCGGUGAAAUGCUUAGAUAUGACACAGAACACCGAUUGCGAAGGCAGCUCGCUAAACUGUAACUGACGCUGAGGCACGAAAGCGUGGGUAGCAAACAGGAUUAGAUACCCCUGUAGUCC
rnacentral:rRNA from 1 species